rnacentral:misc_RNA from 1 species
CUAAGGAAUAUUACGGAAUACACAGGWUUUGCUUUUGUUCAGUUUUGAGAGGUUUACUCUCAAAAGAAUUGUUCAUUGAAAACUGGAUAUUGAAGAGAAACAUCAAUUAAUAAACCGAGAAAACACCGCGUUGAAUGAGUUUAAGAAGUUCAAUUGCUUUAUUUGAAAGAUCUGAUCGCACAGAUCGAA